GUCAAGAUAGGACAUCAUGAUAAGCUGAGGAAGCAACCUCUCUGAAGUCUUGUGUCAGAAGCAGAGGGAAGCACUGAGCAGUGGGGGACACGAAGGCACUGGAACGGGAGCUGCAAAGGAUCAGGGUAGUUAUAACUUGACGGUUAGUGAAAAGAGAAGACAUUUGCAGCUCUGAAUUGUAAGAUAUUUUGAAGAACAGGAAGCUCUGUCCAGAGUUCUGCGGGAUGCAGGAAAUGAAUGCAUAAACAAUGAGAUGGUUUGACGUACGCUUGUCCUGAUGACACAGCAGACAGGAGACAUAGAGCCUCAGUUGGGAAUUGCAAGCAAUGAUGACCUGGACAACAAAUGGAUCUGCAAAUCUUCUAACACAGAAUAUACCAUCUUUACCAGAGAUUAUGGUACCGUGCAGCAGCUGGUGUUGUGAAUCAGGCCGUGACCAGUCAAUACCGGCUACUUCACAACACCAGGGUUGUACCACACCCUUGUCUUCACGUGUGAACAUAAAUGUCAGAGAUAUGCAUCGAGGCUGAAUCUUGAAGAGUAUAUGCAAUUCCUACAUCUGAAUAUAAAUGUAAAUAUAAGUGUAAAUAUAUAUUUAUAUAAAAAAAAUGAUAGUAUUAUAACCUUUUUUGAGUGUUAAAUAUUUGAGGUCAAUUAUCACUAUGAUGAGAUUGAUGGCAACUUGAAUAAACAAUGAAUAAAGGGAACAAUUCAGAUGGCCCCUGAUUGAUGGGCUGUCACUAGUGCACUCAACAUAGAAGGGUGCCAUGGUUUUGGUUAUUUGGCUCAACACGAUUAGCUAGACCACUUUAUAAUAAUAUAUAAUAAUAUAUAUAAUACUAUCUGGUGUACAUGGGACUGGUGUAUUGGUGCUUGCAUUUUUUUUGUUUACAAAGUUCUCUCUUACAAGAGAUUGGACAUUUUCACAUGGCAAUAACAAGUAUGUUACAUUUUCUGUUACCUUAGAUUUUUUUUUAUAAAGGUGGUGAUUUUUUAUUAUGGAGGUAUUUUUAAAAACUCUAUUAUCUUUGUUUUGUUUUUUACUAUUUUUUCAGUCCUCGCAGGGGACUUGACUAUGGGAUCAUUUGAUCAUUUUUACUUUUAUAUUAAAUCUUCCAUUUUUACUAGGAGUCCUAUCAUGGCAGUCACAGAGGCCUUUGAAAGCUCAGCUGCCAGAGCAACCAAAUGGCUUGCUCUGACUGUGCCACAGGAAAGUGAUCAGAGGCCAGAAGAGACCAGAACACAAUUUCUAUCCCCCUAGAUGGUCAACUGGUAGUUUUAGGGCAUGGAGCAGGUUCAGCUCCUGAGUCCACUCGAUACUUGCUCAACAAAACUCCAGAAACUUCCGACAAUAUAAUAUAAAGCUAUACAGCCCAACAAUAAAGUUAAAAAAAAAAACAAUAAUGCAUCACUUUAUUUAUAUCCUAUAUAAAAGAAAUCUGUGUGUAGAAAUAUGCAUUUAACUCUCCUGCUAUGUUGUGAAAGCGGGGCCAUGGAGGCUUUCAAAUGACAUCAAGCAGGUCCAAGCAGAACAAGCUAACAAGCAGUGACUCCUCUGUACCUGGCUAAUACAUUUGUUGAAUUACAGCAAAAUGUAUACUCAUACUUGGCAAAAAAAAUGUUCAGAGUGUUUUUAUUCGACUUUUAGGGCCACUUCAUGACAGCUGAAAAAAAAAUAUGCACACAUAACAUAAAAGUUGGUUGCAUCAGGCUCAACCAAACUCAUCUGUCCUAGGUGGCAAAUCCAGCACCAUAAGGUUAGGUUUCCACAUGUUUUUUGGGGGUUAUGGGUCAUAGGUUAGCUGAAAGUCAACACUUAUCAAAUGCCAAACCCACUUGGUGCUUUUUGUUUUGGUGUUUUUUUCACUUAUCUUUGGCGUUUUGGUGCAGUUUUGGGCUCAGUGCCAAUUUUCAAAAACCUCAGCAUAUUAAUACUAUGGAAUCAUAAAAUUUUUAGCAUUUGGCUUUUUCCCCCCCAGUUUUUCAAUAAAAAUCCUUAAGUUGCAUGAUAAAAGUAUCACAUUACUUGUUGUAAUAAAAAUAUAAGGUUAAAAAACACCAAAGAAAAAAAAGACUAAAACAAAAAAAUAAAUGCCACAAAAAUUGCAUCUUGGGAGUGCAAAAUUACAGGGCAGUUUUUUGUGGUGUUUUUUUUUUUCUUCUGUGUAUGCCAAUGAUAAAGACAACAGACAUAGCAAUUGUUCGCAGUCAUCAGAAAUGUGCUUGCUUUAAAGGUCACCUAGGAAAUUUUUCUAUGGCUGUUGUUCACUGUUGUAUAUGGUGAGAAGACAAGGAUAGAUUCCUUUACGCAGUUUAGCACAACAUCAAUUAUCUAGGUUUUAGCUUAUACUCGGCAGAGGCAUCUAUGGACCAAUAUGCUUGAGAAUGAAGCCUUCAAAAAACUAAGCUCUAAAAGCGUGCACUGUUCAUACAUUCAUUAAGAUCAGUCUCACUAGUGUUAUGUACUGUACAUGCCCUUGAAGUCCUUACCACUGAACUCAGAAUGCCUGUAAUAAAACAUUUGAACAUCAUUUAUGGUGCUUGGAGAGGAUUAAGUGAAGGAUAAAAUGUGGGUUAAGGAAAUUACAGGACUGCCUGGCACGCUCUGGAGAACGCCUGACAAGGAGGAGAAUAUGGGACAAUGCUUUUAAAAUUGGUUGCUAUGACAACAGAAUGAAGAUGCAACAUUCACUGGCAGCAUUCCUCCACUGCAUGCUGGGUUUUCCCAGCCUUAUUUAAUAUCCACAGACAUCUUUAUACAAAUACUAUUUAGAUUAAUUUCAAAUUGGCAAAGAAACUUGGGAAAAUAGUAUACUCUGUACACAACUAAGCAUGAAAAACCUUGCCACCUCUUAAGAUGCCAGUAGGCUUUAUUUAAUCUUUGUAACCAUGAAGAUGCAUUAUUAUUACUAUUACAUCAUUAUUAUUACAUAUUGCAUAGUUUUUGUAUUGUUUUUACUCUACAUUGAAAGUGUUUUACCCAUGUAUUCCUUGAGGCUAUGUUCACACCUUGGAAUUUCUGUGCGGCAGCAGAGCCCCACUGAAUUUAACAGGAUUCUGCUGUGCUGUGCACACGGCAGAAUUUCCAUGCCAGAUGAUUCUGGCACAGAAAUUCCGAAUCCCGUACCACAGAAAGAAUUAACCUGUUCGUUCUUUCUGCGGACUCACAAAAUGCACAAUGCAUUCCCAUGUGGUCCUAGCGCAAGCAUAUUAUGCCGGGAAUGUCCUUUUCAUAGAGACUUAUCAAAAGUUUUAAUUGAUGAGUGUUCAGACUAACUGGUCCCUAGAGUGCGGAGAAAUGUGUGUUAAAGGGGGACUCCGGUGAAAAUUAUUUUUUUUUUUUAAAUCAACUGGUGCCAG